GUACGGAGGAUCCGAGCGUUAUCCGGAUUUAUUGGGUUUAAAGGGUGCGCAGGCGGCCAUUUAAGUCAGCGGUUAAAUCGUGGGGCUCAACCCCAUUCUGCCGUUGAUACUGGGUGGCUUGAUUGCGGUCGAGGUUGGCGGAAUUCGUUGGGUAGCGGUGAAAUGCAUAGCUAUGGAGAAAAACACCGGUUGCGUAGGCAGCUGACCAGACCACUAGUGACGCGCAUGCACGAUAGUGCGGGGAUCGAACAGGAUUAGAUACCGUGGUAUGCCGCACAGUAAACGAUGAAGACUUGUUUUCGGCGAUAUAAUGUCGAAGGCAGAGCGAAAGCGAUAAGUAUUCCACCUGGGGAGUACGUCGUCAACGGUGAAACUCAAAGGAAUUGACGGGG
rnacentral:rRNA from 1 species